GCCGGGCGCUCUGCUUUCAGGGCGCCCGACGCUCCGGGAAGCAGGCUGCUAUCCGCAGCCUAGACACGGCUAGCGGAGCGCUAAUCCCGAAGCUUGGGGCGUGCGGAGCUCAGCGCGCCCCAAGCUUCUGGGUGCCGGCAAGCGCUCCGCUAGCCGUGGGAGAGCUGGGUCUCCCACGGCUAGCGGAUAGCUUCCUGAAGCCUGGAGAGCGAGAGGGGUCGGUGCGCACCGACCCCUCUCACUUUCCAGGCUUCAGCGAAAGCCUGCAUUCGCUCCAUAGGACGCACACACAUUUUCCCUUGCUUUUUAGGAGGGAAAAAGUGUGUCCUAUGGUGCGAAAAAUACGGUACAUUG